AGUGAACGCUGGCGGUAGGCCUAACACAUGCAAGUCGAACGGCAGCACAGUAAGAGCUUGCUCUGACGGGUGGCGAGUGGCGGACGGGUGAGGUAUACAACGGAAUCUCCUUUUUCGUGGGGGAUAACGGAGGGAAACUUACGCUAAUACCGCAUACGACCUACGGGUGAAAUCAUUGUAUCUUCUGACCUAGCGCGAUGGAUUGAGCCGUUGUCGGAUUAGAUAGUUGGCGGGGUAAAGGCCCACCAAGGCGACGAUCCGAAGCUGGUCUGAGAGGAUGAUGUGCAACACUAGAACGGAACCGCGGCCCAGCCCACAACGGGAGGCGACGCAGGGGAAUGGUAGACACUGGGCUGAAGCCUGCUCUAGCCAUACCGCGUGGGGGAAGAGAGGCCUCGGGUCGUAAAGCCAUUUUGUGGGGAAAGAAAAGCAGCAGGUUAAGACCACGCUGUUCUGACGGUACCCAAAGAAUAAGCAACGGCUAACUUCGUG
rnacentral:rRNA from 1 species